rnacentral:rRNA from 1 species
GCUUACGGCCACACCGCCUGGUUCACCGCCCGAUCUCGGAAGCUAACAUAGGUUGGGCCUGGUUAGUACUUGGAUGGGAGACCGCCUGGGAAAACCAGGUGCUGUAAGCU